AAACACCAGUUCCUUUACAAUCACCAAAGUUAAGCAAUAUCUAGCCUGGUCAGUACCAAGAUGGGUGACCGCUUGGGAAUAGCAGGUGCUAUA